CAGUAGCCGCGGGAAUACGAAGGGGGCUAGCGUUGCUCGGAAUUACUGGCGUAAAGGGAGCGUAGGCGGGUCGUUUAGUCAGAGGUGAAAUCCCGGGGCUCAACCUCGGAACUGCCUUUGAUACUGGCGACCUUGAGUAUGGGAGAGGUGAGUGGAACUCCGAGUGUAGAGGUGAAAUUCGUAGAUGUUCGGAAGAACACCAGUGGCGAAGGCGACUCACUGGCCCAUUACUGACGCUGAGGCUCGAAAGCGUGGGGAGCAAACAGGAUUAGAUACCCCAGUAGUCCCUGUCUCUUAUACA
rnacentral:rRNA from 1 species